AGCAAUACUUCACUGAUACGGGGGUGGAUCCGAAAUCUCUAGAUGGUUAACAUAGACUCUCCACCCCCUAAUCCAAAUCAAUACGUCCCCGUCGUAUAUAACGGUAACAUGUCUCUCAAUUAUCCAAGCUUAAGUAUAAGGGGAAACCCAACGCCAUGGAUAGAUGGGUUGCAUGGCUAAAUUGAGAAAG
rnacentral:ribozyme from 1 species